GAUGAACGCUGGCGGCGUGCCUAAUACAUGCAAGUCGAGCGAACAGACGAGGAGCUUGCUCCUCUGACGUUAGCGGCGGACGGGUGAGUAACACGUGGAUAACCUACCUAUAAGACUGGGAUAACUUCGGGAAACCGGAGCUAAUACCGGAUAAUGUAUUGAACCGCAUGGUUCAAUAGUGAAAGACGGUUUUGCUGUCACUUAUAGAUGGAUCCGCGCCGCAUUAGCUAGUUGGUAAGGUAACGGCUUACCAAGGCAACGAUGCGUAGCCGACCUGAGAGGGUGAUCGGCCACACUGGAACUGAGACACGGUCCAGACUCCUACGGGAGGCAGCAGUAGGGAAUCUUGCGCAAUGGGCGAAAGUCUGACGGAGCAACGCCGCGUGAGUGAUGAAGGUCUUCGGAUCGUAAAACUCUGUUAUUAGGGAAGAACAAAUGUGUAAGUAACUAUGCACGUCUUGACGGUACCUAAUCAGAAAGCCACGGCUAACUACGUG
rnacentral:rRNA from 1 species